GGCCAUGAUGGAAUAGACAAGGUUGCUUCUUCGUGGACCCUUCGUGGGUGGAGCCCUCCGUGGACUCUCGCAGCCGUUACCCUCCGUGGGUUGAAGUCUCCAUCAACGUGGAAGUACGAUAGCACCACCUAUCGGAACCACGAGAAAAAUCACCGCGUCUCCAAAAUUGCGUUUGCUCUUCUCCACCUCUCUUUACUACAUGUGCAAUUUACUUUCCGCUGCCUAUACUCUAGAAUUGCAUGUGUAGGGUGAUGCUUGACUUGAUCAUAAUUGUGAAUCUGCCAAAAACUGUUCUUUGUCAAAAGGCAGAAUUUUUAUAUUGUCAAGUAGUCUAAUCACCCCCCCUCUAGACAUACUUUCGAUCCUACAAGUGGUAUCAGAGCUUUGGUCUCCAUUGUAUUGGUUUCCAUUGCAUUGGACUCCAUAAGCUUGGUUUCACAACCUAGGAGAGUAUGGCGUCUAGUGAGGGUAAUUUUCGUAGAGGUCCUUACUUUGAUGGUACAAAUUUUGCUAGUUGGAAGCAUAAAAUGAAAAUGCAUAUUCUUGGCCAUAACGCAGCCGCAUGGGGCAUUAUUUGUGUUGGUAUGCAAGGUGAAUUCUUCGAGGAAGGAAAAGUUCCGGAUCGCGAAGCUACAACGGAAGAAUUGCGGAUGUUGCAAAACAAUGCUCAAGCUUGUGACAUUCUCUUCAAUGCCUUGUGUCCCGAGGAGUUCAACAAAAUCAGCCGUCUUGAGAAUGCAAAAGAGAUUUGGGAUACUUUGGUUGAAAUGCACGAAGGUACCGAGUCCGUGAAGGAAUCAAAGCUAGAUGUUCUUCAAGGUCAACUUGACAAGUUCAAGAUGAAGGAAGGUGAAGGAGUCGCUGAAAUGUACUCUAGGCUUGCUCUCAUCACAAAUGAGAUUGCCGGCUUAGGAAGCGAAGAAAUGACCGACCGAUUCAUCAUCAAGAAGAUUCUCAGAGCUUUGGAUGGAAAGUAUGACACCGUGUGCACUUUGAUCCAAAUGAUGCCAAACUACAAGAAUCUCAAGCCAACCGAAGUCAUUGGAAGAAUUGUUGCUCAUGAGAUGACACUUAAGGAUAAGGAAGAGCUUCACAACAAGUCAAGUGGUGCUUACAAAGCUACAAGUGAUGCUCCCACAACCUCAAGUGACAAGUUAGUUUCCAAUGAAGAGAUAAGCCUAAUGGUCAAGAACUUCAACAAAUUCUACAAGAAUAGAAGCAAAGAGAGAAGCUCAAAGUCUAGAUCAUAUGAUGAAAAGAGAUCUUCUAGUCGUGAUCGAAACUGCUACAAUUGUGGAAGACCCGGACACUACUCAAAUGAGUGUACAGCUCCCCACAAGAGAAGAGAAGAAUCUCCAAGAAGAAGAAGCUCAAGAGAUGAGUCACCUCGGAAAGAGAGAAGGAGCAGAGAUGAUCGUUAUGAACGAAGACCCUCUCGGAGAAGCAAGGAUUCGGAGAGGAAAGACAAGUCAUCAAGGAGCUACACAAGAAGAAAACAUCAAGCUCAUGUAGGUGAAUGGGUCUCCGGCUCCGACUCCGAUAAUCAAUCCGAAGGAAGCUAUCACUCCAACUCCGACUACAGUCAAGAUGAAGGUGUUGCCGGUCUUGCUCUCGUAUCCUCCAACUCCAACUCCUAUGACUUAUUUGAUUCACCAAAUGAGGGAAUUGGAAGAUGCUUCAUGGCUAAAGGCCCCAAGGUAUCACACCCUGAAUUCAUUGACUUCGAUAGUGAUGAGGAUGACUUGCUUGGUGAAGAUGAGCUCUUACUUGAUAAAUCCAAUGAACCUAGUAACAAUGAACAUGCUAGUAGUCUUUAUAGUCGAGAAGAGUCGAAUGACAAUGCUAUGAAGGAGAUUGAGCAUCUAACUAAAGAACUAAAAACUCUUAAGUUAGCUCAUGAAACAACUCAAGAAGAUCAUAGAGAGCUCCUAAGAUCUCAUGAGAAGCUACGCUUCGAGAAGCUCACUCUAGAGCAAGAACAUGAGUUUCUAAAAGCAAUCAAUGACGAUCUUCGAAAGAAGAGUUCUUCAUAUCUUGCCAAACGACUUAUCUUGUCUAAUUUCUUGCCACCCAUUAAGACUAAGCAUGACAAGCAUAAGAAAAAUUAUUCUUCUAGUAGUAACAAUAACCAUGCUAAAUCCAAUGUUGUUGCUUCUAGUAGUUCUCUUGAUUCCACUAACAAUGUUUCAAGCCAAGUUACACUUGAGCAAGAAAAUAGUUUAUUGAAAGGUAUCAUAGAGAAAGGUGUCUACAAGAGCCUUGACGGAAGCAAGAACUUUGAGGAAAUUGUUCGCAAGCAAGGAAGGCACCGGAAGAAUCAAGGAAUUGGUUUUGAGCGAAAGUUCAACGCCGAAGGUAUUGAAUGGGAAGAAGGUCAAUAUCCUACUCCAUAGUUUGUUCUUCAAAAGGAGAAGUAUGAUCCUACUUCUUCCAAUGUGGAACAAGCUCAAGAUGACCUUCCACCACAAGACCACAAGCUAAGAGGCAAGGACAAGCUUCAAGAGGAGAUUGAUGCAUUUGUUGAAGCACCUCAAGCCAUGGUCAAGUGGGUUCCCAAGGAAACGUCAAGUUCUACUUCGUCAAGCUACACCACAACCCCAAGGAUUCCCAUCAAGAUGAUGUGGAUCCCGAAGAAGAAGAACUAGAAAGUUCUUGAGGGUGACUCCGCCAACAUACUUCACUCACAUUCAUUUUGGCAAAAACUUGUGCAAUCAACUUCCACAUCGUGCACUAGUUCAUGGAGUCACAAACCCUCUUGUUGGUAAGUCAAGGGACAAGGUAAUCAUUGCUUUCAUGGACAUCAUCUAUUGUGAACUUCAAUCUAUGUCCAUGGAUAUUCUUGUUUGUUCCUUGUGGGACUAACCCAUGUAGGUAUUGAAAGUGCCCGAAUCCAAAGGAUUGCUCCCAACUCUUGAUGAUCUUCAUCAACAUUGAGCAUCCACAUCUUCAACAUCUACAUGAAGUCUUCUACGACAACCCAAGGUUAGUUUGACCCUUUAAAAGGGGUUCUCAAAUAUAGGGGGAGCUUUGCUCUAAAAAAUUGAGCUAAAGCAUCUUCAAAUUAUGUGAACACAUCAAUGCUUUAUGUAAAAGUGGUAACCCCACUUGUUCUUAAACGAUGAGUAUGACCUAUGAUCAAAUGUUCUCAUUUGGCUCCUAAGUCAAUAUACUCGUAUAAAGAUGACCUAGUCAUCGACAAAUUGUGUGUUAGUAGCUAGAGUUUUAGUUGUGCAUGUUUGACACAUAUUUCAUUUGCUAUCUUAUUGUGUGAGCAUGUUGGAUGCAUAAUUUUAUCCAUUCGAGGACAUCCAUUUGUUGUUUUGGUCGUUUUGAUUUUUCUAACCAAAUGGAUGGACAAGAAUGCCUAAGUACCUCCCCUAGCUAUCUAUGCUUUCUUGUCUCAAAUUCUAUUCAUGCUUACAUCACAAACUUUGAACAAGUCAUUUUCGGACCCUCCGGGUGAGGAGCACUCGGAGCCACCGAUCCGUCAAGGGCUAACUUCCAAAACCUUCUAAUUGAUUUCGGUUAGGCCAACUCACUCAAACUCGGUCGAACCGAAAGCAUUUAGACUGAUCUAGGUUUUCACCUCGGUGAAACCGGGUUGUGUUUUUCGGCGUGACCGAAGUGCAUAACUGCCUAGCAGUUAUCCAUCUCGGUGCCACCGAGUUUUACAACUCGGUCCCACCGACAGCAAAGGGGUAUAUAUACUCCGAGGGCCGCGCGCGUUGAUUCCUCCUUCAAAUGUUUCGCCCCCACACCCCUUGCUGCCAUCGCCUUGGUCUCCGGAUCGUCGCCGUCGUCGCCUGUGCGCCCUCGCCGCAGGUCUCCGUCGCCGUCAACGGACAUCUCCUCCGAGCCGUUGCUGCCGUAGAAAAACUCCACCAUGUUAGGGUGAGUUUUGAUCCCACUCGUGCUCCCAUCUCCGAUUCAAUGCACGUUUGGAUUUCCUAGUAUCUUGCCACGAUUGAAAUCCUCCUGUACACCAGAUUAGUUCGUUUGGACUAGAUUCGAGUAAAAGUUUUAGGGUUAGGUUUCCGCCGAACACAUCUCGGUGAGACCGAUUUUAUAGUUUCGGUAUGACCGAUUUGGCCUAUGGCCAUUGCACUGCACCCUUCGGUCCAACCGAGUUGUGCAAAUCGGUGUGAUCGAAAUGAAAUUUCUGUGAAACCCUAGUGUUUUCGGCAGGACGGAAACCCACUUCGGUCAAACCGAAAGUGGUGUGAAAGCUCCUGUUUAACACUUCGGAUUCACCGAAACUUAAACUCGGUCUGACCGAAAUGUCUUCUGUGAAAACCUAAUACUAGAAUUUGAACUCAUUUUGUUUGCAAAAACUUCUGCAUUUGUGAUGACUCUUCUUCUCUGCCUGCACCUUAUCUAUUCACAGGUUGUCAGCCAUGUCAGAUGCCAGUGACAGUCAGAACAGGUCAAAGAUUUUCUUCUUCUGUUGAAGAAUGGGCAGAAAUUCUGAAUGCUCCAGUGCAACGAGACGAUGAUAUUGAUGUAUAUGGGAUUCCAAAGAAGAAUCAUGAAUCCAUGAAGAACAUGUACAAAGAGGUUCCAGCAAAGGAUUUGGGAAUCUGGAAGCUCGGCUCAGUCUACUAUCUCCAGGCAGGCCUACCUACCACCAAUACUAUUUUGAGGCAUACCUUGAUGCCCAAGUCUGGAGAUCAUCGCAUGAUCAGAGGAUACUCUAUCAACAUGCUGCAUAUACUUGAUGAGAAAGCACCUUUCAAGGUGAUGGACUUGAUGGUAGAGACCAUUAAGAGGACUGCAGCUGACCAGAAAAGGUCAUGUGGAUUUGCCCCGCAGAUUCAGAUGCUUAUCAAUGCCAAGUUUGGCACGGGCACAUUCUUGUUGGAUAGAGAACAUUUACCGUUGCAGCCAGAGCAUGAAGACAAUGUUGUUGUGAUGGAUGAGGAGGAUCCAACAUCUGUUGAAGGUCAAGCCAAGAUCGAAGCUGCCAAGAAAGCCAAAGCUGACAAGGAAGCAGCAGCAGCAGCAACUAAACCAAAGAGUUUCGGAGAGCAAAUUCUUGAAGCUACCCAAAGGAUUGAACAAUGCCUGGCCAGCAUUGUACAGUCUCAGGAGAGCCUAGAGAGGAUUGUUGAAGACAAGAUCCACGCUCUGGAUGUGAAGCUGACUGAAGUGCAAGUGACUGUCAACAAGCUUGAGGCAGACAUUGAGGAAGCAAAGCGGGAGAAGGAAGAGCUUAUGCGUGAGAUGCAGGAUGACUUAGUCCAAGAUGCUUAUCAAUAGACUGCUCCGGUUCCCAUAGGACCCCGAUCAGCUGCUAUUCCAGUGACUGACACCAGGACCACAGCUUCAGCACCUCCCACAGUUCCAGUUGCUCCUACUCCAGCUCCAGCUCCAGUGACCACUUCUCCAGCACAGACAUCAGCUGAAGUCUUCGCCGAUGCUGUCAUAUCCACUCCGACAUCAACCCAGACGGGAGCCACCAGCAGAGUCCCCAGUGACGCUUAGCUCUAUGCUUUUUCAAACUUUUUGGUAACUUGUUGCCAAAGGGGGGAGAAAUUGUAUAGAUCAUAGGACUUCGAGAGAGAGAGAGUGCUCUUGUCUUUGCGCUUUUGCUCUUUCGUUCUUUUGCGGUUUCUUUGAGAUACUUUUGGUUUUCGAGACAUUCAGUGUGUUUGAUACUACGUUUGAUUCUACAAUAAUGAGUGCUUGGUCGUACUAUGCUUUAAUGUGUGCUUAAUGCUUAUCAUAUGCCAUUCCUAUCUUGUAUGACCAUUUACUCAUGUCUUGGUGAUUGGGUGCAUGCUAUUCAUUCUUAUCAUUUUGUGCGCUCCACCAAGAUGUAUGUGACAUGGAAGAGUGACCCAUGAUCCUAAUCGAUUGUGCAUUUGCAUUCAAACGCAAAUCUUAAAUAAUGCACAAAUUUAGGGGGAGCUCUUGCUUAUCACAUACUUCUCAAAGCGAUGAUAUUAUUCAUUGAUUAUAUCCUUUGUCGAAGCUUUGAUCUAUAUGUUGUCAUCAAUUACCAAAAAGGGGGAGAUUGAAAGUGCAACUAAUCCCCGGGUGGUUUUGGUAAUUAAUAACAACAUAUAUAUCAUUGAACUAAUAGUUACUUGAGAAUCAUUUCAGAAAGUUCAGUGAUAUGGGUAUGGCAAGGACUGAAGAAGUGGACCCCUCAAAAUGCUAAGGCAAGCAUUGGCAAAAGCUCAAGACUCCAUUUUUGGUUUAGUGAUCCAAGAUCACAUUGAGUCCAUAGGAAAGCCAAUACUAUUAAAAGGGGAUGAGGUUAUGAUGAUGAUCUGGUUGCUCAAGUGCUUAGUGAUACAUCUCCUAAACUAUCAGCAACUUUCACUGCCAUAUACACUCAUAAGUAGUCUCGGUCCCACCGAUAUUCCAAACUCAGUCACACCGAGAUGAACCACCUCAGCCAUAAAGCCAAACCCUAGCAAACUCGGAUUUUCCGAUUCGGAACUCGGUCUCACCGAAAAAUGAGCUGCCAAGCUUCUGUAACCUUCUGUCAUCAAAUCGGUGUCACCGAGAUGAUGAAGUCGGUCCCACCGAAAUUGGCAUGCUCUUGUCAUUGCACGAAUCGGACUCACCGAGAUUGUAUUUUCGGUCCCACCGAAAAUCCCAACGUUCACAUUAUUUGAACUUUCGGUCUCACCGAGUUGUCAACUUCGGUCGCACCGAGAUUGCUCAAAUGUGUGUAACGGUUGGAUUUUGUGUGGAGGCUAUAAAUACCCCUCCACCCCCUCUUCAUUCGUGGAGAGAGCCAUCAGAAAGAACUACCACUCCUACCUUACAUUUCUGAGAAGAGAACUACCUACCCUUGUGUUGAGAUCAAGUUGCUCCACUCCCACCAUAUGAAGCUUGAUCUCUAGCCUUCCCAAGUUGCUUUCCACUCAAUCCUUUCUUCCACCACAGCCAAAUCAGUGAGGAGAGUUGAGUGUUGGGGAGAUUAUCAUUUGAAGCACAAGAGCAAGGAGUUCAUCAUCAUCUACACCAUAUAUUACCUUUUGGAGGGUGGUGCCUCCUAGAUUGGUUAGGUGUCGCUUGGGAGCCUGCGUCGAGAUGUGGAGUUGAACCAAGAAGUUUGUAAGGGCAAGGAGAUCGCCUACUUCGUGAAGAUCUACCCCGAGUAAGGCUAGCCCUCCAUGGGCGUAGGCCAUGAUGGAAUAGACAAGGCUGCUUCUUCAUGGACCCUUCGUGGGUGGAGCCCUCCGUGGACUCUCGCAGCCGUUACCCUCCGUGGGUUGAAGUCUCCAUCAACGUGGAAGUACGAUAGCACCACCUAUCGGAACCACGAGAAAAAUCACCGCGUCUCCAAAAUUGUGUUUUCUCUUCUCCACCUCUCUUUACUACAUGUGCAAUUUACUUUCCGCUGCCUAUACUCUAGAAUUGCAUGUGUAGGGUGAUGCUUGACUUGAUCAUAAUUGUGAAUCUGCCAAAAACUGUUCUUUGUCAAAAGGCAGAAUUUUUAUAUUGUCAAGUAGUCUAAUCACCCCCCCUCUAGACAUACUUUCGAUCCUACAGCCUUUGGCCCCCAAACCCCACGUCCAAGUCAAUAAUAGCCCCACCAAUGUUUGUCUCAAAAACCACUGAGUAAUUAAGGCGUCCAUUAGUUAUUAAUUAAUGACUUAAAAUAAAUUAUCCGACCAAUAAAAAUAUAGACCAUGUGGAUAGCUUUUGUCCUUAGACUGGCCCAUUCCCGAAGAGCGCGCGUGUAGGUUUCCUAUUAUCAUGUUCAUGCAAAUGCUAAAAUAGAUCACAUGAUAAAGUGGUGCAACUCACACCCACCUAGCAGUAUGGGACUAAACUUUAGUCCCACUCACACCGUACUUAGAGCAUGGUUAAUAGUAUAGCCAACAUUCGGCUAUAUGAAGUUGACACAUCAUCUAGAACCAACCUAAUAGCCUGCUAGUACAAUAUUUAAUCCCUUUAGUAUAAUACUAUAUCAUUAAUAAUGGCCCCACCUUUUGUCUCACAAAGUAUGUUGGGGCUCCUGCUACAACCGGCUACAAGUUUACAACCCGCUUCUCUUCUCUCUCCUUCAACUAAGCACAAAUACUGUAUUUAAAUCCUUAUAGCCUGCUUGUGUCAUCUAAUUGUAGUACUUUCUCUAAAGUUACUCUCCACUGUGUAGUCUGAAAUGCCGGGCGUGCAGCGGGCGGUUCCCUCGGUCGGCGCGCCGCUUCAACGGCGGAAGCAGUGAGAGGUCGCGUCGCCCUGACUUGCCAUCUAUGUGGAGCGGCGGGCUCAGCUGGCGCCAGGAGGGAAGCGCGCGCAGGAGGGGGGAGGGGUUUUUGUUGGGCCAAGAAGGUGAGAAGCCAACUUGGGAUCGGUCCGGACGGGGAAAUAUCAUGUGCUCCCAUACUCACUAGUAGUUUCAUGCAUAUGACACUAGUCUAUGUUACUACUCCCUCCUUUCCGGUUUAUAGAGAUGUUUAGAGUAACAUGGUAAUAUGUUGCAUUAUAAGUUACUCCCCAUUAUGACCAGCCUUGGCCUCUCCUAGUGCUCCACCAUGUAUAGCUGCUAAGCCUACCAUGUAGGCAUAAAAUAUGAUAUGGCAAGUUAAUUAAGAAGAGAGAGACUAGUUUGGUGACCGCGGGAAGAAACUGUGGAAAGACAAUUUUGAUUCUAUAGCUAAUUAAAUGAAGCAAGCUUAGCAACAACAAACUAAGCACCUAUGCAUUGGAGACUUGAGUUGCUAAGCUAUUUAAAGCAAUUAGAACCUCAUCUAACCACAUCUAAGCACUUAGCACUUAGCACCCCCUUGACCAUGGACCUUGACAGUGUACGUCACCUUGUGUCCAGAUCUGAGAUGCUACGUGUACCAGAUGAAUGACUCCAAGCUCGACCACCAUGAUGCAAGAGGUGCGAGUCGAGGAACACUGUUGGAGACACCCCCCUCAGACUAGCCACAAUGGGUAGUAACAUAGACUAGUUACAUGCUCAUGUUACUAGUCUAUGUUACUACCUCUAUAGUAACAUAUCUUUGGUAACAUGCAACACUUCAUUUAUUAGGCUAUAGACACAUCUUGCCUUGAUAUGUGUGAUGUUACUACUUUCCUCUCUUUCUUCAUUUAUUGCUUGCCGCAUCAUCUACUUUAUCUAGACAUGUGUGAUGUUACUACCUAUGUUACUCCCACUGUGGGUAGUCUCAUAAUUUUCCUCGUCAUCAUCUCAGUCCUAGAAGAUCUCACCCACAUCAACAUUAGGCAUGCAGCCGCCUUGAUAGAAAACAUGCGUAGAAGGAGUAGAAGCGACUGGGGAUGCACCACGUCGUGGGCAUUCCAUACGUGCUCGUGUGUGUGCAACGUGCAUGUUUUUCCAUCGGUGCUAGCUCUAUGGCCGAGGCUGCGGUCAUCUUCAUCUCCGACUAGUCGUUGAGCAACAACGACAAAGUGGUGCUGCAAGAGAUGUGUAGGAGUCGUUGUGUGCGAGCUUCACCGUAGCAUGACGAACCGGACGUCACCGCAGAUGGCGCAUACCUCCAUGCAGCCGAGUGUGUGCGUAUGCAUGUGUUAUUCACGUGCAUUCUGCGACUGAGAGUGUGUGCAUGCACGUGUUGUGUACGUGCGUUGUGUUCUCCAGGCUGUGCGCGUAUGUGCAUGAGUUGGAUCAGAUGGAGUUAGUGCAUUGGCAUGUGUACAUGCAUGGCUGCAUGCGUCCUAUACAUGCAUGGCUUGUUGCGUGGUUAUCAAUACAAACUAUAAAACAUCUUCAACUUAGCAUCCUGAUGUAUCGUCUCUAGUGGUUAGCGAAGAGUUCAUGUUCUUUUAUUUGUUUAUAGGUGGGCAGGCGGCAAAAAACAGGGGAAAACACGCAAGGUUCCUUGCAGACGCUCCACCGCGAGUUUCCUUGCUCCUUCUCGGUCGUCAGAAAUCUAUGUUCUUCAACUCUUUUUUUUACGUGAGCUUUGUUCAUCCUUUUGCCAACACGCAAGACAUCUAGCAUCAAGGUGCACGUGUCAUGCAAGAAGAUGGAGAUAAUCAGAUAAGCAGUGCGUAAGUGAGUCUUGCACUUCGAUGACACCUACUACGCAAUAUUUUUUCUCCUCGAUGCCACAUGAAUAGUGCACGUACUCAACGACAGAGCAUGGGAUGGUAACCAUGACAUGGUCAGCCCUUUUUUGGAGAGAGUACGUACUAAAUAACUUUGAUGUGUCCCGUCAACUCGCAAAACGACGAGAAGCUUGCUUACUACGACUUCUCCCUCGCCAACGCGUGCGCGGUGGUUCGCAUCAUGAGGAGAAACUUUUGCUUACAAGCAGUGGACGUGCAGCAGUUCAUUUGGUGUCCGAUUGCCAGAAGUACUACUGUAGAACCAUCGACUUCCGGAAGAGGCGAAGAGCCAAGCGCAAGGUCACCUACUAACCUUAGGCUAGGCAUAGUGGGAGUAACAUAAGUAGGGGUACCUCCUUUUUUUAUUCUAGAAACAACAACAAGCGAAUAUUGGACGGUAGCAGCACAGCAACUGAAUCAAAAAUAUAAACCAACCAAUGAACUACUACUACUCAUGAGCGUUUGCUAGUACAUAGGAUGUACUCCAUCUGUCCAUGUAUAUAGGUCUUAAUGCGUUUUCCUAGUCUCGGAAAACACAUUAAGCCCUAUAUACAUGGACAGCCGGAGUACGUGAUACGUACUAGCAAACGAUCACCAGUAGUAGUAGUUCAUUGGUUGGUUUUGAUUUUUGAUUCAGUUGCUGUGCUACUACCGUCCAAUAUUCGCGUGUGGUUGUUUCUUGAGUAAAAAAAAGGAGGUACUAGUAUUUACUGUGGGAAAGGUGAAGUGAUGGUUGAUUCGCCCGAGCAACUUAUUACUCUAGGAAUAUGGGAGUACCAGCGGAUUCAAGGAACAGAGAAAUGAUGGUUGCUUCGUCCGAGCAACUUACUGUGGCGAAGGUGGGGCUCUGUGAUUUGACUGCUCACUAGUCAUUACUACUGCGGCGUAACGACCGGGGUGAAUCUUUCCCUAUAGUUGUGCACUCAAUAUUGCUGCAUGGCAGGUGGAGCCGGAUGAAGGAUGUCCCACAUGUCGGUAAAACAAAGUUGAAUUGUUUCUGGCAUUGCUAUCAAUCCUUCAGGAUUUGUUUAUAUGUACUCAUAAUUUUAAUGAAAUUGUACGAUGAUGCUAUGAAGGUUUCAACUUUGGUUCCCGCAGGAAAAAAAAGUUUCAACUUAGGAUUCAUGUGUCUUGCCUCAAGAUUAUCUCGUUACAACAUUCCAUCAAAUACAAAUGAAACUACCAUGGCUGCUAAUGCAUCUCAAUGGUUCGUAGAUCAGCGCCAAUAUUCACAUCACAACUGAAGACAAAGUUGUGAGAAGGUGUACAAAUAAAGAAAAUAUAUAAUUGAUCGAUGUUGUUCGUAGGCAUGGCUCCAUUUCCUUGGCACAGAGUUCAUUGCUUGGCAUCUAGUUUCACCUAGCUCUGUAGCCAAAAAAGAGGUGUAUGGAGGACACCACAAUCCGAUCAUUUGUGCAGCUCCACUUAAAUCGAGCGGACCAUCCCUGUUUGCAAAGAUAUCCAGUCAGUGUGAUUACAAUAAUAGUGGAACUAGAUGGUGAAACAUAACACACACAAAUAGAAGCCGAUCACCUCUACGAUCUCUCUUUAGGACUAAAUACUUGUUGGAGAAGAUUAGGCACGGAGUUGGAUGAGGAGGAUAGCAAAACCAAUCUCCCUUUCUGCAGUCCCAUAGAAAUGUAAAAACAUUGCCUGUGUGACAUUUUGGCAGAACUGCACAAAACACUCUUAAGGAAAAAGUGAUUUGUGCAGUUCACCAAAAGGUUGCAAUAGCAAGGAGGUGAAAAUGGAUAGCCCUAUUUGCAAAAGGAGGUAGAAAGGAAACAAUUACUGCCAAAUAACACGAGUUGAAGACACAUACACCGACAAAAAAGAAACAUAUUCCUUGAAAUAAGGGAAAGAUAGCACAUGGUGGUUUAUCAAAAAUGGUUUGAGGACAAGAUUGCAAGAUGGAAAGUACGUCGACCGAGAUACAUUUUAAGCAAACAAUUAAAGAAGAUCCACAUGCAGCAACGUGGGAAGAUGGGCAGUGGAGCAAGGCCGGAGGAAGCUGUACCUGAGGGUCGUCGGGAUGUUACUAGGAGGGCACUGGUGGCUGGGAUCUGCUCAUACUGCGGCAGCGAGCAAGUGGCGAAGGCCUUACCGCGCUGGAGCUUGGUCAGAGAGAACGGUGGGUACCAAAGAUCAGGACGUGCUGCCUCAACACCGUCGAAUGGAGAGACGAUGCACAUCCUCCCUUUCCGCCAGCAGACGGGAUGCAGCCGGAUCACUAACCAACACUGAGAGAGAGGCCACCGCUGCCUUGCGUGAGAUGGUGUGACGAGAGACAAACCCAUUUUUCCAUUUUCUCCACGGCAAUCGUUUUAUAUUUUGUACGUGCCAUUGAGGAAUAUAUAACUUUAUUUAAUACUAACGCGUCAAGUCGAAGUUUGUUCUGUCUAGGCGUGGUACCCGACCCUCCUUCGAGUAAACAACCGCUACACGUGUCAAAUUAUCACGUGGGCUGCCUUUUCGUAUAGAAACGAACUUCACCGUGUACCCGCGCGGGUGUGCCCGGGAACGAGACGUGAGUACGUGCAUCCUGCGUGCACCUCUUCUUUAGGUGCAGGUACGUAUGUGGGUGGGUGUGAGAGAGAUGGUUUGUGCGAAACAGAGACAAUGUGUUGAUCGUAUCUCAAACAAAAAAAUGUAACAUAUGCAAUGUGUGUGAAAUGGAAUCAUGGACGUGAGAUAUCGAUAGAAUUGAAAAUAGGGAUGAAGUGUGUGGCUGCGCGAUUGAUAAAGAGUGCCAUUGAAUUUGUGUUUGCCUACGCCAAAGAUACAAGGCGGCUGGCCUACUGGAAUUUGAGAGGGCAGAGGUGCAGUUUUUCUCUGUGGCAUGGAUACCUACCUACAACGUUCNNNNNNNNNNNNNNNNNNNNNNNNNNNNNNNNNNNNNNNNNNNNNNNNNNNNNNNNNNNNNNNNNNNNNNNNNNNNNNNNNNNNNNNNNNNNNNNNNNNNNNNNNNNNNNNNNNNNNNNNNNNNNNNNNNNNNNNNNNNNNNNNNNNNNNNNNNNNNNNNNNNNNNNNNNNNNNNNNNNNNNNNNNNNNNNNNNNNNNNNNNNNNNNNNNNNNNNNNNNNNNNNNNNNNNNNNNNNNNNNNNNNNNNNNNNNNNNNNNNNNNNNNNNNNNNNNNNNNNNGGAGAUUGAUCGGCAUCCAUGGAUAUUUGUAGGAGAGGAAUAAGGUUGGGAGAAAGACAAAGGUAGAGUGUCGGAGGGUUGGUGGUGGAGUGGGGUCUCACAAAUGGUGGGAGAGGCCUACUAGACAAACGAAGGGUACAAGUGCAAUAUCAAUAAGAGAGGGCGGGGGAUGUCUGUCUGUCUAUGCACGCGCGUGUGAGGGACGGGUUGGGGGUAUGCAAGGAUGAUGAGGGGAGACGAUAUGGUUGUGGUAAGCAUACGUAACUACAUAGGAAGAUCAACCGUCGUGUGUCCAAGAAAGGGAGAGACAUAACUAGCGAGGUAAGUGUAUCGGUGCAUGGGGAAAACGAAUUAUAGUUGACCUGGCUAUAUGUUGGGAGAUCGGUACGUAUAACUGCAUGCAUAUGUUGGAAGCAAAUAAGGCCCGAAGAGACAGACAGGGGGAGAGGGGUGCGGCUAGGAGGUGGUGCGAGAGGCCUACCAUGUCGAUGGGGGAGGAGUGUGUGAGUAUGAGAUCAAUGAAAAGAGGGGCGGGAGUCUGCACCUGCGUGGAACUGUAUUGGACAUAGGGGGGCCUGGACGAUGAGAAGAGAAGAGGGGAAGUAUAUAUGUGUUUGUGGUAGGCACACUUGGCUAGAGAGGUAUAUCGACCGGUGUGUGCCGGAAAGAUGGAGCCAGGGGGCCUAGACACACCGCGGGUGAACGACCUAAAGAGAAAUAACAAACGUGCGCGAUGGAGGGGACAUUGAGGGAGGGUGGGAGGGGGGCGGGCGUGUGCAUGCACGAUAGAAAGUUAGCGCUAGCUAGCUACAAAUAGAAGAGGACCGUGAAGGUGUAAAAGAUGAACAAAGAUCAUAAUUCAUUAUAAAAAAGUGGAUAUGGAUACUUGAAGAAGAUAUCAUAAUGUAGAACAUUGAUUAUAAUUUGGGCUAAUGUGUGGCUUUUGCAGCUCAGGGCUAAAUACUUGUCAUAUUGUAGGGGGCGGGGCACUAUACUUUGUGUGAUAAACACGAUGUACGUAUGGAACAUGGUUUAGAUUAUGAAUAUAUAAUUAGUACGUCAAAUGUACUAUUAUUUGGAAUCAACAUCAAGUGUAUUCAAAAAAUAGAAUUUGAGUUCAUAUAGUACACAUAGUUCAUAUCUAUCUCUAUAGUAAUCAUGUGGUGUGUUAUUAAGGUAAUACACGAAUGAUGGUUGAAGUUGGCAACAAUCAUGAUUGUAGAUUCUUAUUGAAAUAGAGAAACGAAUUCAAAUUCAGUUCGAAUUGCAGCGGUAGUAUAGACAUUUGGAAUGCACUAAAAUGUUGGUAUGAGUUGGUUACAUGCAUUAUACAGCCAACGAAAAAAAUUUAAUUGGACAUAACAUGGAUUCAUACUCCCUCCUUCCAUCUAUAUAGGGCGUAAUGCGUUUUUAAGACCGCCUUUGACUAUUGACAAGAUUAAUAGUACAUGACAUGCACAAUGUGAAAAUUAUAUCAUUGAAAGCUCCUUUCACACAUGAAUUUAAUGGUGUGCUUUGUGCAAGUUGCAUGUCAUAUAUUAUUGCUCUAAUAUUUGGUCAAAGUUAGCAUCGAAAAACGCAUUAGGCCCUAUAUAGAUGGAAGGAGGGAUUAGAUUUGAAUAGCAUUUGUAUAGUAAAAUGGGGCAGGACUCUCUCUUUGUGUGGUGUGAAUAGUUUUAUUUUUUUCGUUUUUUUGGUUGAGGGAAAUGCGAAUUGAUUUGGUACGUACAAGCACAAUAUUACAUGUUAGGCUUGUCCCUAAAAUUCAACCCACACCUUGUUAUAUCCCGAAAAUUCAGAUAUCGUGCUCCCAAAACCGACACCUUCACAACCCGCGCCUUGCUAUCCCGAAAUUACAAUGUGCGUGAAAGCUCCCUCAAGCUGUCAGCGAAAUCCCACUUCUAACCCUGAGCCGAAAGGGCCGCUAGUUCAAAUCAGUGGGGGUACUUUUGUAACACACCCUACAUUUUGGACAAGCGCGUCCCUAAGUCAUGGUUCACCCCCUCCCAUCGCCUCCUUUUCACCAUUUGAAAUCCUAGGCCGCCAUAACCUCUUCUCUCCAGUCGCGAAACCCCACCCUCCUCUGUCCGCUACCUCACCGCUGCCCAGCCAGAGCCUCUUCCUUGAUGAUGUCGUCCACCGCAAUAGCUCGUCGUCCCUCAUCCACGUCCCCGGAUGAGGAUCUGUCGUCCAUCUCGUCGUCCCGCCGGUUCAGCCGCCCCGUCCUCCACCUCCAAGCAGAUGCUCUGAUGAUCGCCUCGUCUAUCACGACUGCUCCAUCCCCACAACGGCGCCUUAACCUGCUCCACCAGAACCGCAUCAUCCUCACCGAUUCCUCGGACGAAGUCGAGGCCUACUCAACGCCACCAAAGAGGUUGUACAUUCAUCGCAUAUCACCUUCUCCUUAACUCGACCUCCCGACGCCGACGGUGCUCCAUCCCGCACCCCCAUGGAGCGGCUACCUUGAAGCCGGCACCGCAGGUGACAUCUCCACGGCUUCUCUCCCCCAAUGUGAGGCCCCUUCAGCGGUGGCGUCCAUAACAGCCAAAUCUGCUGCUGCUGCUCCGGCUCUCGCUUGCUCGCUUGCACUGCUGCUGCUUCGGCUCUUGCUCGCUCGCCCAGCUAUUGCUGCUCUAGCUCUCGCUUGCUCGCUCAUUCGUGCUUCUGCUGCUGCUCCAGCUCUCGCUCGCUUGCUCGCGCUGCUACUGCUGCUCUCCCCUUCACUCGUGUUACUGCUAUGCUCCAAUUUAGCUACACUUCAGACGACUGAAUCGACUUUUGGGUCAGUCGAUUUUCAGGAGAUGGGGGGCUAGCCGGAGUUAAGGAAGAACCACCCGCAGCAGGGAUGGGGGCUCGUCGGAGAGGUUCCCUACUAUCUAUCUUAGGGUUUAGGGUGGGGGCGGGGGGCCUCGAGGGCUGGCCGGGGCGGCGGGGCAGCGGCGGACCGGCGGUGGGGAGUUGUUUAGGGGUGGCGAGGCAGCGCUGGAGCCGGCGGUUCGGCCGAUGGUGGCUGGCGGCUCAGGGGGGUGCAGGUUGAAGAUGAACUGUAGGCCCUCCCUAAACUACAUGUCAAGUGCCUCUCUGCUACCAUUGCGUUCAGUUUCGACAGUAACAUUCAGAUUCCACUAUAAAUUUCAGUUUCGACAGUUAAGUUCAGAGUCAAUAGUUUUUACCUCAUCUGUUGUCAUCAGGUGGUUUUUGGUGAUGUAAAUUUUACAUCUAUUUUACAUCAUCUAUUAGAGAUGCUAUUAGAAUCCCACUUGAGAUUAAUGAUGUCUGUCUAGUGCUGCUUCAGCCUUGACGUCUUACGGCUCACCGAUGCUGCUCCAACGAUAGAACGAUCCAUCACAACAGAGCAGUGCGCUGGAUGCCGUCUAGAGAUUCCUCAGAUCUUCCUCCACGCCUUCAAUAGCCACCUCUACCUCAACUGCUUCAACGACCAACCCAAUGAUGCUGAGGUCGACACGGCUACGGCAAACAGGUUGUACACUUGUUACAUCACUUAUUACUAUACAUUUAUGUCGAUCCAUUAGGGCUAUUUUGGUUCAACGGAAAAACAUAGCAACAGGGAAUUUUCCUAUGGCACUCUACUAUUAAUUUAUUCAUGCAUUUUGUUUAAAGGAAUGGAGCAAAACAUCCACUUGGACCUACUUUCCAAAAUCCUAUGCAUGAAAACAAGACCAAGUGCAUUAGUGCCAAAAUAACAUUCUAACUGUACACGCUUUCAUAUGGUUUCACUUUAUUUUGGCCAUGUUUCUUUGCAUUUCUCUGCUCUUCCGAUUCCCGUGAACCAAACACCCAAGUUGACAGAAAUCCUGUGUUUACAUGCUCUGUUUACCAUGUGCAUUCCUAUCAUAUUCCUGUGUUUUUCCUAUCCCCCUGUUUUUAGAAUCAUGCAAGCCAAAUGAGCCCUUAUAGAAUUACUUCAGUUACAGGUAGGUGUCAAAGGGAACUUUGUGUGGUUUGUCCUGCUCCUGCCGCGACAUCGUCCACCUCACCUGAGCUGCUCCAUCGAUAGAAGCAUCCACCAAACCAGACAUCACGACUCCUGACCAUCUUUCGCCGCCUCAGAUCUCCUUCCCUGCCGCCGACACCUACCACAACAGCAUCACCAUCAUCUACUCAGCAGAUGAACCUGAGGAGUACACGGGUCGACAAGAGAGGUCGCACUCUUUUGUUUCUGCUUAUGUUAUGCAUUGCUUAAAAUUACCUGCUACUUUAUCAUCCUAUUUACCUCUUGGACUCCAAGUCAGGUCCAAAUUAAUGUUCAAACUUGAGUUCUAGAUUAGUUGUGGGGCACAUGUCGAGGCAACAAUGAAUAGUAUCUCUGUCCAAUAUGUGGUUCACCUAGGGUAUGCCUAUGUUGUUCAUCUUGGGUGGGAAACAAAUAGUAAAGCAAUCAUCAUCUGUCUUUUUAUUAAAUUAAAGCAAUCAUCAUCCUGCUAUCAUUAUUUUUGGAUCCAUCCACUGGUUGUUACCAUCACUCUAAAUUUCUGCAUGCUCUCCUUACAUAAUCUCACCAUAUUUUUUUCAUAUGCAUGUCAGAUAUUGUACACAGUCAUGCUGAACAUGUAGAGAAAAAGUGAAGAGUUUUGCGCGGCAAUACAAUGUCAUGCAGACAUUGCUCCAUGGUGGGUUCAAUGGCAAACCCUCCCCCACUCUCCAGAUUGGAAUCCAGAGGAAGAUAACUGUUCUGAGGCGGAUUCAGACACAACUGACCACUCCUAUUUACCCCCCAAGGUGUUUGCUCUACCUUGGCAUGAUGAUUUUAGUCAUAUCAUGCAUAUGUUGCCUUGUAGUGCCUACUUUUGACAUUAUAUAUGUCAUCUGCUUAGUUUAGACAUGUUCUGUAAUGCCACCUGUUUAGUUUCUAUAUCAUAUAUGGAAAUUAUGCAGUCUCAUGUCUUUUAGACAGCCAUAAUAUAUGUGAAAUGUGCAAUGCCAUCUUGUUUAACCAGGCAUCAUAUAUUUGAAUGAUAUCUUGCCCAUCCUUUUCUUCAUUACAUUUCCAUUUGUCGACAAUGUUAGUACAUUAAACUACUCUUCCUAUGAAUCAGCCAUUUGGGUGGGAGAUGGAAAAAUAUGGAGUUAAAACAAGGCCUUCAGAGCAUACAGUGCUACCUGUCGAAGCAGAUCUCUUGUUGGGUCCCGAUAGCUCCUCAGAGAUGGAUUCAGAGAUAGAUGACCAGUCCUAUUCCCCCACCGAGGUGUAUGCUCUAACUCGCACGGUUAUACUGCUCAUAUCAUGCAUAUGGUGUCUUGCAUUGCAUAGUUUAGACAUCAUAUACACAAUAUUCAACACCAUGUUCUUAGUUCAGACAUCAUAUCGAAUGCCCUCUGUUUAGCAAAUAAAUCAGAUAUGUGAAUUAAAUCAUGUGAUCUUGAUUACUUAGAUAACAUGUAGGUGAAUUAUGUCAUGCGAUCCUGUUUAGUUAUUCAUCAUAUCUUUGAAUUAUGUUAUGCUAUGCUAUCCAGUUUAGAUAGACAUCAUAUAUGUGAAAUUAUGUCAUGCUAUCCAUUUUAGUUAAACAAUAUACAUGUCAACUAUUUCAUGCACUCUUUUUUCCACACUAUCUAUUGCAUCUGUCUCUCAUACAAUGUCUGUACAUUCAACUAUGUUUCCUGUUUAUCAGUCAUUUGAAUUGGAGCUGGUGAUGCUAGUAUCUAGUGGAGUAAAAAACACGGUCUCCAAAUAAAACAGUGCUACCUCUUGGUGGAGAUAGCACCCCGGUUGUACAUGCAUGAGAACCAUCCCUACCACACAUAACCCAAACUCUCGCAGAUUGUACCCCUACCACGACGGACAGAGAACCAGCUUCACCGAAUCUAACCCCAACCCCAGUAGAUAGUAACCAGUUCCUGUUGACACAACACCAUCUCCACCAUAGAGCUCCCAAAAAAGAGCAGUUAGUAAGGAAACUCCAGUGCCCAAAGGGCUAGUACUACCACGGCAAACCCAAAGUCCAACAGUUAGUACGCCUAUUCCUAUGGAGGAAGCACAACCAGCUAGUCAUAGUUUAGCAUCUAUCGCAUUUGAUGUUGUUAAAUCCUAUGUGUGUAUCUUCCCAUCUUGGAAAUAUUAUACUGAAGAUGAAAGAAAAUGACAAUUGUAGGUGUUUGUCCAGGAGUUAUGUGUAAGAAUGUUAUUCAUGGCAAUUACUUUGCUUUGUCCCAUACAUCCUACCUCCAUGAUGGUUAUAAUACAUCAAAUUUUCCCAUUUUUCUCUAUAGAGAAGCACCGAUUUGGAAACUCAUGAUAAGGUAACCUGUGCUAAUACCUCGGCUAUCUUCAAGAAUGCUUGGUGGCAGUAUUCGAAUUACCUGAAGAAAAUAUACUUCACCGGCAAAGAAACUCAUCAAAUUCCCUUACGUUCUCCUGAGACACAUUUACUAGAUGAUGACUGGGAACGCCUUGUUCUGUACUGGUCCCGAACCAAGAAUGUGGUAAGGUCUAUGAGCUCAUUUUCUAUUUUAAGUACUAUAUUCUUGCAUCUUACUGUACUCUGUUCAUGUAGAACAAGUGCCUAAACCUAAAGAACAACUGUUCUAAUUUAAGAUUCCAUUGCUAUCAUAAUUAAAAAAGCGCAAGGCGUUAAUUGUGCAUUUUUCCACCGCCUUGCGCUUUACUGACCAAAGCGCAUGCUUAUGUGCAGUUAUGCACAGAUUAAGCAUAGUUAUGACAAUGCGUUUUGCCGACGCCUAGAGCCUAGGCGCGCUUAAGCGCUCGCUUAGGCGCACCUUUUUUAACUAUGAUUGCUAUCGUGCACACUACUUUGCUCUUGUAUCACUGUAUUUACUCAUACAAACUUAUUUUUAAAUUGAAGGAUCCAAUCGAAACUCCAAUGGCACAACAGGUAUCUUCACGCACGUUUCUUUAACAGGUUUGCUCUUAUCAAUAGCGCUGUUGAUUUCAAUUUCAAUUGUGUAUACAGUUGACUUCUCAUAUCAUGCACAUUAGUAGCAUCACAAUAGAGCCAAUAGUGUUGUUGUACAUGUAGACCCGUGGUACCCAUCUGAAAUCUUGUUGUGCUAUGUAGUUUCCCACGCUUUGUAUUCUUUCACUACUUCUUUGUCUUGAACUGAUAUUAUUUGAACCGUGUCUCUAUUUUGAUUUGGCAAGACAAUGCAGUGACCAUAGGACAUAGAUAUAUGUUUGUUUGAUGCUUUUAUUAUGUAGUAGUACUUGGAAAUAGAAGACUUGGUUGUUUAAUCCUGUCCACCUUAUUAAUGAACUGGUUCACCGAAAUGAGUUUCAUAUACUAGUACAUGCUAAACCUGUUAUGUGUCUGCUUGUUUCUUCUUUUAGAAUGCUGACAGAAUAUUGGGGAAGAGUGCCUUAUUAAGCAAUGGUAAAGGAAGUAAUACAGAUAAGGUUCAAGAUAGUGAGACAUCCUUGUUGGUAUCCAACAAAGCUGAUAAAAUAGCUAAGGAAGACUAUCUUGAAAAUAGUGAGACAACCCCAAAGUCCAGUCUUGGUUUAGUGUUCGGCCACUACCGCUUGCACAAGCUAUUCAAACUCACUGUCUGAAUCAGUUCGGUUUCUUGAGUCUCAACUACAAGCUGAAAGACAUCGAUCAGCUAUGCCGCGACAAGAAGCGGAAGGACUGCAGAAGUCCGCGGAGCAUUCAGAUGCAUACUUUCUGGUGCAACAGCAAGCGUUGGAGGAUUUCAGUGCCAAACAUGACAAAGCUAAUAAGCUUGCUAAGCUUAUUGACAGCAUGGUGGAUACCCAGGAUAAUGUUUCUUGAGCUCUUCUGAAGAUGUUUCAGUUAUGCUCUUUGUUUGCUGCCGCAUUUAUUUACACUGGUGGCCAAUUUUGACGGCCAGUGUAUGUAAUAUGCUGCUUUGUUCCCUAUAUUUGCACCGGUGGCAAACUUUGAUGCCCAGUGGAUGUAAUAUGUGUAAUAGCGGUAAUAGGCUAGCGUUAGUUGCUUGCUUAUUUAUUUCCUUAUUGUCUUGUUUAUUUGUUUGCUUGUAGUCACUGCAGUUCUUUUCCGUGUUUUUCUAGUGGCCACGAUAACCUAUUUUUGGUAACUAGGCCACAAUAAUCAUGGCAACACACGGACUGUUGUACCCAUGGGCCUCUUGCGGGCCGUAUGAUCCAUGGGCCUUCUACCGGCCGUAGGAUCCAUUGGUCUUCUAUACGGUCCGUAGGAUCCAGGGCCUUCUACAGGCCGUAGGAUCCAUGGGCCUUCUACGAGCCGUACUAUCCAUGGGCCUUCUACGGGCCAUAGGAUCCACUGGUCUUCUAUGGGCCGUAGGAUCCAUGGGCCUUCUACGGGGCGUAUAAUCAUUUCGCCAAUCAUGGGCCGUACUAUUCGUGGACCAUAACGUGCCGUUAAUAGGUCGUAUUUGAUAACUCCAUGAAAAUAGCCCAACGGGUUUUUACAUGAAAACGGCCCAAUGUAUUAACGGGCCACAAACGGGCCAACUGUAACCAUGGGCUGAAUUUGGCCCACAAGCAGAAAAUGACAGUAACGGGCCGUAAGUAACCGAAUGCUGGAAAUGAUCCCAAGAAUAAAUGGCCCCUGAGAAGGUCGAAAUAUAACAUGGGCUGGAAACGGCCCAAUGGAAUAAUGGGCCGUUAAUGGGUAUAAAGUGAUACACUGUUCAUUACGGGCGAGUUUCACCACGGGCCAUUAAUGGGCCAAGAGUUACAAAGGGCCUCAUAUGGACCGAAAGACAUCAUGGGCCAUACAUGGACCGGAAGUUAAAACGGGCUGGAAUCAUAUUGGACAACCCAUAUGACGCUACUAGGCCUAAUUCGGAUAGGUCGUAAAGGGCCCUGGGUUAGCAGGCUGUAAAUGGGCUAUAUGCGAACAAGCCGUUAACAGGCUUUUCAUGGGUCGACCCGCCACCUUUUGACCAAGUCAAACAGGCCAGCCUUUUCACAGGAAUGGGCCUCUGUUGGGCCGUGCCACGUGUCGACGUAUCAUAGGCGCCUUCGGUCCAAUGAGUGGAUGACAUCUGUCCCAACGGUGAGCCGACACGUGUUUCCUCUAGCCAAUGAUGAUUUUACACGUGGAAAAUCCCCAUUGGUCGGGGCUUUUAACGGGUUAUCGGAUCCAAAACCAGACCCGAUAACUUAACGGUGUUCCAUUACCGUGGAUGCCACGUGUCGGUCAUCCUUGACGAAAGCACUUCUAUGACGCCUGAUUUAUCGUCAUGGAAGUGGACACUUCCAUGAUGAUAAUUUUGGUAAUGUCAUGGAACACUUCUACGACAGCACAGGUAUGACUAUCUUGAUUCUGUCAUAAAAUCAUCAUGGAUGUACAUGCAUGACAGAAAACGUGACCUACUAUGACAAACGCGUAUCAUCACGGAAGUGUAUUUUUUUGUAGUGAGUGCGGGUAAAUUGCCAUAGUUUCCUUCCUAUGGAAGACAAUAGAGAUAGAAGGACUAUGUUUUAGGAUGGCAGGCACACCAUCAUCACCAACUCUAUUUUUUUAUAAUAGUAUAGAUAUAGAAGACAAUAGAGAUAGAGAUAGAGAUAGAGAAACCCGCGUGGAAUGCGAGAAACCCACUACAGCCACACAUGCCCGUUCAGGAGCUGGACGCCGACCAAGCUCCUGCUUCCACCAUUUUCUUCUUUUUAUAAGAGUAGAAAAAUCCAGAAAAAACAAUAUUUGAAUGUAAUUGCCGGUUGGCUUAGGAUUAAAAAUUUACAACCCAUUUUUUACUAACUUAUAGCCCAUUUUAUGCGGAAGCCCAUUUCUUACUACUUACAUCCCUCCUCGUCUUGAAAGAUUUGCAGUCCAGCAGGGAUGAGGAAAGCAAGCUUGGGUAUUCUCCAAAAAAAGCGAGCUAGCCAUUUUCAGAAAGAAAAAAAGAUAUCAACUGGGCUCGUCAUCUUUUUUUGAGCAAAGGAACUGGGUUCGUCAUGUGCUUAAAUAAAAGCGUAAGCGUGGGCUAGACGGGCCAUAGUCCCCGCACAGCCCACAAUUGACUGAGCUCCAUCUGUAAAACUAAAAAACAACUGGACGAGCUGCUGGGUCCCUAGUGUUAUCCGCUCGUUGUGUAAUUUUCUUGUUUAUUGACUACAUUGACAAUGGCGUGGGACCUGGUUGUCAAACAAUUAGGAGGAAGUUUUUUUGGCUUUUAAUAAUGAGGAACCUGCUUGCGUAAUGCAAUGACCCUGGUGGGUCCCUACUGUCAGCCUCUUCGUAUACAGUCAUCUCUUGAUUCCUCUUGGUUCUUGACCAAGUUGACAACGAUAGACGGUGGCGGGCACCUCGAACAAACCAAGGAAGAGAACGAUGGCGAGGCCUCGGACGGGAAUGAACAGGAGCCGUGGAAUAUGCGGCGGUGUAGUGGCAGGCGGAGGGGAGUAUGAGCAGUAGCGGAGCUAGGUUCAGCCUAUGUCCCAGGUAAGCAAUGCAACUACAGUGAGCUACAAUGUCAUUUGUGCUACAGUACGCUACAGUUAACAAAGAACAAAUCCACCACGCCAGUGUGAACAUCAUCAAGAUAUGAUAUGCCAUGUUUGCGCUAUGCAGCGAGAAGUGAAGUUGCGCCUUGUUGUGAUCCUUUGGGAGUGGUGGACGUCAAGGAACAAAGCCAAUGCAGGUGAAGUACAGAAGACGGCAGCAGAAAUCAGUUCUUUCAUCACAAAAGACUUGACUGAUUUAACUUCGGUGAACAUUCAGAAAACGCCCCAGCCGCAACAACCCCAGGUUUGGAUCCCUCCAGCUACAAACUUGAUCAAGAUUAAUAUGGAUGCUGCUUUUCUAAUGAAGUCUGAGACUGGUGCGUGGGGUUUCAUUGCGAGAGACGAAACUAGCGAUUUUCUGUGGCUGCUGCUGGCAAGAUGAACCAUGUAAGAUCUGCACUGCACGCGGAAGUGAUCGCUUAUCUAUUGAAGGGGCAGCUGACCUGGGUGCACAACACAUCAGUUUUGAAUUGGAAUGUUUGUCAAUGAUUUCUGCCCUUAAAGUGCGGGGCUAUGACGUUGCGGAGCUGGGAGUUCUCUGAAUUGAUGUUUUGUCCCUGGAACUGUAACCAUGUGGCGCAUGCUUUGGCGCAGUUUGCUAUGGGAGCUGUUGAACCCCUCCAUGUGUGGGCGAAUGUUGCCCCAGAUUUUGUUUCUGACUUGGUGAAUGCUGAUAUGGCUUCCCAAUUUUAAGUGGAAUAUAAUUUGUUCCCUCUCAAAUAAAAAAUCCCACCACGCCCCAGGCCAAGGCCAUGGCUGCUUGGGGCCUAGAACCGCCUUUGAGUACGAGGGCAACAACAUGUAACUCAAGCUUACAAAUGGUACAAAAAUCCCAAGGAUUAAUUGUUCAUCAAAUUUAGAAAAAACCCAGAUUGAACAUGGCAAUAACAUCUAAGUGACAAAGCGACAAUGUUUUUCACUCUUAUUAUCAUUUGUUGAAGCUUUGAUCUAUAUGUUGUCAUCAAUUACCAAAAAGGGGGAGAUUGAAAGUGCAACUAUCCCUAGGUGGUUUUGGUAAUUCCUAACAACAUAUAGCUCAUUGAGCUAACAUUAUUCCAAGAUGAAUAUUUCAGGAAAAGCUCAAUGAAUGGCAUGUCACGGAUGAGAAAAGUGGACCCCUCAAAAUGCUAAGGAUAAAAGAUUGGCUCAAUCUCCAAAGCUCAAGACUCUACAUUUUAUGUUUUAGUGAUCCAAGAUCACAUUGAGUCUAUAAGAAAAGCCAAUACUAUCAAGGAGGGAUGAGGUGUUUCUUAAUGAGUUUCUUGCUCCAUAGUGCUUAGUGAUAUGCUUCAAAGCCCUCAACUACUUUCUCACAUCCACAUAUGACCUAAACCAAAUGUCAAACUCGGCCCUACGGAUUCUUUCAAUCCGGCGCCACCGAGUUCAGAUGUCAUAGCCACUGCCACAAACCCUAGGCAAAUCGGUCUCACCGAUAGGGAUCUCGGUCUCACCGAGAUGGGAUUAUAAUCUCUCUGUUUCCCUUCGUAACGUUUCGGUACCACCGAGAUGAGCGAUCGGUCCCACCGAGAUUGCAAUGUAAACUCAGUGUUUCCUUUUCGUAACAUUUCGGUCCCACCGAAAUGAGCGAACCGGUCCCACCGAGUUUACCUGACCAACUCUCUGGUUAGCUUAUUACCAAAAUCGGUCCCACCAAGUUUGUGUAAUCGGUCUCUCCGAGAUUAUGUUAGGCCCUAACCCUAACCAUAUCGGUCCUACCGAGUUGCAUGUCAAUCCCACCGAAAAUCCUAACGGUCACUAGAUUUGCUGAAUCGGUCUGACCGAGUUGCCCAAUUCGGUCCCACCGAGUUUGGCAAGUUGUGUGUAACGGUUACAUUUUGUGUGGAGGCUAUAUAUACCCCUCCACCUCCUCUUCAUUCGUGGAGAGAGCCAUCAGAACAAACCUACACUUCCAACUUGCUGUUUCUGAGAGAGAACGACCUACUCAUGUGUUGAGGCCAAGAUACUCCAUUCCUACCAUAUGAAUCUUGAUCUCUAGCCUUCCCUAAUUUGUUUUCCACUCAAAUAUUCUUUCCACCAAAUCCAAAUCAUGUGAGAGAGAGUUGAGUGUUGGGGAGACUAUCAUUUGAAGCACAAGAGCAAGGAGUUCAUCAUCAACACACCAUUUGUUACUUCUUGGAGAGUGGUGUCUCCUAGAUUGGCUAGUUGUCACUUGGGAGCCUCCGACAAGAUUGUGGAGUUGAACCAAGGAGUUUGUAAGGGCAAGGAGAUCGCCUACUUCGUGAAGAUCUACCGCUAGUGAGGCAAGUCCUUCGUGGGUGACGGCCAUGGUGGGAUAGACAAGGUUGCUUCUUCGUGGACCCUUCAUGGGUGGAGCCCUCCGUGGACUCGCGCAACUGUUACCCUUCGUGGGUUGAAGUCUCCACCAACGUGGAUGUAUGAUAGCACCACCUAUCAGAACCACGACAAAAACAUCCAUGUCUCCAAUUGCGUUUGAAUCCUCCAAACCCUUCCCUUUACAUUCUUGCAAGUUGCAUGCUUUACUUUCCGCUGCUCAUAUACUCUUUGCAUGCUUGCUUGAAUUGUGUUAAGAUUGCUUGACUUGUGCUAAGAUAACGAAACUCUGCCAAAGACUAAAAUUGGGAAAAGGAUAAGUUUUUAUUUGGUCAAGUAGUCUAAUCACCCCCCCCCCUCUAGACAUACUUUCGAUCCUACACCCACUCACUUCUUUCGAGAGAAACUCCUUCUCUAGAAAGGAUCCGAAUUUAGCAACAAAAGUCUUGUCCUCAGAUCUGUGAUAGAAGGUGUACCCAAUAGUCUCUUUUGGGUAUCCUAUGAAGACACAUUUCUCUGAUUUGGGUUCGAGCUUAUCUGGUUGAAGUUUGUUCACAUAAGCAUCGCAUCCCCAAACUUUAAGAAACGACAACUUUGGUUUCUUGCCAAACCACAGUUCAUAAGGCGUCGUCUCAACGGAUUUUGAUGGUGCCCUAUUUAACGUGAAUGCGGCCGUCUCUAAAGCAUAACCCCAAAACGAUACCGGUAAAUUAGUAAGAGACAUCAUAGAUCGCACCAUAUCUAGUAAAGUACGAUUACGACGUUCGGACACACCAUUUCGUUGUGGUGUUCCGGGUGGCAGGAGUUGCGAAACUAUUCUGCAUUGCUUCAAUUGUAAACCAAACUCAUAACUCAAAUAUUCUCCUCCACUAUCAGAUCGUAGAAACUUUAUUUUCUUGUUACGAUGAUUUUCCACUUCACUCUGAAAUUCUUUGAACUUUUCAAAUGUUUCAGACUUGUGUUUCAUCAAGUAGAUAUACCCAUAUCUGCUCAAAUCAUCUGUGAAGGUGAGAAAAUAAUGAUACCCACUGCCAGCCUCAAUAUUCAUUGGACCACAUACAUCAGUAUGUAUGAUUUCCAACAAAUCAGUUGCUCGCUCCAUAGUUCCGGAGAACGACGUUUUAGUCAUCUUGCCCAUGAGGCACGGUUCGCAAGUACCAAGUGAUUCAUAAUCAAGUGAUUCCAGAAGUCCAUCGGUAUGGAGUUUCUUCAUGCGCUUUACACCAAUAUGACCCAAACGGCAGUGCCACAAAUAAGUUGCACUAUCAUUAUCAACUCUGCAUCUUUUGGCUUCAACAUUAUGAAUAUGUGUAUCACUACUAUCGAGAUUUAAUAAAAAUAGACCACUCUUCAAGGGUGCAUGACCAUAAAAGAUAUUACUCAUAUGAAUAGAACAACCAUUAUUCUCAGAUUUAAAUGAAUAACUAUCUCACAUUGUAGGAUCGAAAGUAUGUCUAGAGGGGGGGCUGAUUAGACUACUUGUCAAUAUAAAAAUUCUGCCUUUUGACAAAGAACAGUUUUUGGCAGAUUCACAAUUAUGAUCAAGUCAAGCAUCACCCUACACAUGCAAUUCUAGAGUAUAGGCAGCGGAAAGUAAAUUGCACAUGUAGUAAAGAGAGGUGGAGAAGAGCAAACGCAAUUUUGGAGACGCGGUGAUUUUUCCCGUGGUUCCGAUAGGUGGCGCUAUCAUACAUCCACGUUGAUGGAGACUUCAACCCACGGAGGGUAACGGCUGCGCGAGUCCACGGAGGGCUCCACCCACGAAGGGUCCACGAAGAAGCAACCUUGUCUAUUCCAUCAUGGCCUACGCCCACGGAGGGCUAGCCUUACUCGGGGUAGAUCUUCACGAAGUAGGCGAUCUCCUUGCCCUUACAAACUUCUUGGUUCAACUCCACAUCUCGACGACGGAGGCUCCCAAGCGACACCUAACCAAUCUAGGAGGCACCACCCUCCAAAAGGUAAUAGAUGUUGUAGAUGAUGAUGAACUCCUUGCUCUUGUGCUUCAAAUGAUAAUCUCCCCAACACUCAACUCUCCUCACUGAUUUGGCUGUGGUGGAAGAAAGGAUUGAGUGGAAAGCAACUUGGGAAGGCUAGAGAUCAAGCUUCAUAUGGUGGGAGUGGAGCAACUUGAUCUCAACACAAGGGUAGGUAGUUCUCUUCUCAGAAAUGUAAGGUAGGAGUGGUAGUUCUUUCUGAUGGCUCUCUACACGAAUGAAGAGGGGGUGGAGGGGUAUAAAUAGCCUCCACACAAAAUCCAACCGUUACACACAUUUGAGCAAUCUCGGUGGUACCGAAGUGGACAACUCGGUGAGACCGAUAGUUCAAAUAAUGUGAAUGUUGGGAUUUUCGGUGGGACCGAAUAUACAAUCUCGGUUAGUCCGAUUCGUGCAAUGACACUAGCAUGCCAGUUUCGGUGGGACCGACUUCAUCAUCUCGGUGACACCGAUUUGAUGACAGAAGGUUACAGAACCUUGGCAACUCAUGUUUCGGUGAGACCGAGUUCAGAAUCGGAAAAUCCGAGUUUACUAGGGUUUGGCUUAUGGCUGAGGUGGUUCAUCUUGGUGUGACUGAGUUUGGAAUAUCGGUGGGACCGAGACUACUUAUGAGUGUCUAUGGCAGUGAAAGUUGCUGAUAGUUUAGGAGAUGUAUCACUAAGCACUUGAGCAACCAGAUCAUCAUCAUAACCUCAUCUCCUUUUAAUAGUAUUGGCUUUUCCUAUGGACUCAAUGUGAUCUUGGAUCACUAAACCAAAAAUGGAGUCUUGAGCUUUUGCCAAUGCUUGCCUUAGCAUUUUGGGGGGUCCACUUCUUCAGUCCUUGCCAUACCCAUAUCACUGAACUCUCUGAAAUGAUUCUCAAGUAACUAUUAGUUCAAUGAUAUAUAUGUUGUUAUUAAUUACCAAAACCACCCGGGGAUUAGUUGCACUUUCAAUCUCCCCCUUUUUGGUAAUUGAUGACAACAUAUAGAUCAAAGCUUUGACAAAGGAUAUAAUCAAUGAAUAAUAUCGUCGCUUUGAGAAGUAUGUGAUAAGCAAGAGCUCCCCCUAAAUUUGUGCAUUAUUUAAGAUUUGCGUUUGAAUGCAAAUGCACAAUCGAUGAGGAUCAUGGGUCACUCUUCCAUGUCACAUACAUCUUGGUGGAGCGCACAAAAUGAUAAGAAUGAACAGCAUGCACCCAAUCACCAAGACAUGAGUAAAUGGUCAUACGAGAUAGGAAUGGCAUAUGAUAAGCAUUAAGCACACAUUAAAGCAUAGUACGACCAAGCACUCAUUAAGGUAGAAUCAAACGGAGUAUCAAACACACUGAAUGUCUUGAAAAUCAAAAGUAUCUCAAAGAAACCGCAAAAGAACGAAAGAGCAAAAGCGCAAAGACAACAGCACUCUCUCUCUCGAAGCCCUAUGAUCUAUACAAUUUCUCCCCCUUUGGCAACAAGUUACCAAAAAGUUCGAAAAAGCAUAGAGCUAAGCGUCACUGUGGACUCUGCUUGCGGCUCCCGUCUGGGUUGAUGUUGGAGUGGAUAUGACAGCAUCGGCGAAGACUUCAGCUGAUGUCUGUGCUGGAGGAGUGGACACUGGAGCUGGAGCUGGAGUAGGAGCAACUGCUGGAACUGUGGGAGGUGCUGAAGCUGUAGUCCUGGUGUUAGUCACUGGAAUAGCAGCUGAUCGGGAUCCUUUGGGAACCGGAGCAGUCUGUCGAUGAGAAUCCUAGACUAAGUCAUCCUGCAACUCACGCAUAAGCUCUGCCUUGUCCUGCUUUGCUUCCUCAAUGUCUGCCUCGAGCUUGUUGACGGUCACUUGUACUUCUGUCAGCUUCACGUCCCGAGCGUGGAUCUUCUCGUCAACAAUCCUCUCUAAGCUCUCCUGAGACUGUUCAAUGCUGGCCAAGCGUUGUUCAAUCCUUUGAGUAGCUUCAAGAAUUUGCUCUCCGAAACUCUUUGGUUUAGCUGCUGCUGCUGCUGCUGCUUCCUUGUCAGCUUUGGCUUUCUUAGCAGCUGCGAUCUUGGCUUGACCUUCAACAGAUGUCGGAUCCUCCUCAUCCAUCACAACAACAUUGUCUUCAUGCUCUGGCUGCAACGGUAAAUGUUCUCUAUCCAACAAGAAUGUGCCCGUGCCAAACUUGGCAUUGAUAAGCAUCUGAAUCUGCGGGGCAAAUCCACACGACCUUUUGUGAUCAGCUGCAGUCCUCUUAAUGGUCUCUACAAUCAAGUCCAUCACCUUGAAAGGUGCUCUCUCAUCAAGUAUGUGCAGCAUGUUGAUAGAGUAUCCUCUGAUCAUGCGAUCAUCUCCAGAUUUGGGCAUCAAGGUAUGCCUCAAAAUGGUAUUAGUGGUAGGUAAGCCUGCCUGGAGAUGGUAGACUGAGCCGAGCUUCCAGAUUUGCAAAUCCUCUGCUGGAACCUCUUUGUACAUGUUUUUCAUGAUUCAUGAUUCUUCUUUGGAAUCCCAUAUACAUCAAUAUCAUCUUCUCGUUGCACUGGAGCAUUCAGAAUUUCUGCCCAUUCUUCAAUAGAAGAAGAAAACCUUUGACCUUCAGUCAUCCACAUAAUCUUUCCAUCAGGGUAGAAGUGAGCUGUGGCAUAAAAUUGCAUUAUCAUCUCAUCGUUCCAACUGGUCAAUUUCUGACCUACAAAAUCUGCAACUCCACAUGCAGUGAAACUUUCAUGCACAUGUGGAAAGAAAUCUCUGUGCUCUUCGCUGUCAAUGUACUUCCAGUCAACAUAUCUGGUGUCUGCGACUAUGGGCUUCUUGUCCAUCAGCACGGUCUCAUAGAAGUUCUGCUGCUCUCUGGUGUGAAAUCUGGGAUCUACAACAGUUCUUAUCCUCACGGCAUAUGGGUCAGUUUGUCUCCAUAGCCUGAGACCUUUAUCUUUCCUUGCCUUCAUAUCCUCAGCUUGAGGAUGAGCAUCAUUAUGGAGUGGCAGUUUUGGACGAAGUUUCAGCAAAACUGGUCCUUCAUCGUCAGACUCAGUUGGUGGCACAUCAUCCUUGUUCUUUUCAGACGCUGGAAUGUUUCUGAUGGUCCUCUUGGGCUUGGCAGCAGGCUUUGCUGGAGCUGCCUUAGCUGGAGCAGAUUUCUUGGGCUUUGAUGUGGCUCCAGCCUUAAUGGCAUCACCCAUGAGCUUCGGCUUCUGAGGAGGAGGCUGGGGUGCUUCCUCAUCCUCAUCCUCUACUGCUGCAUCUGCAUGCACUAUUCUCUUUCUCUUGGUGGUUUUCUUCACUUUGCUUGCAGCUGCCUCUCCCAAAUUCAGCUUCUUAGCAACAGUUGACUGCUUGACUUUGCUGGUGCCCUUCUUAGAUUGUUGAUCUUGUUGCUCUUUGGCAACAACCUUCCUUUUAGGCUUUGAGGUCACCUCUUCCUCAACAACUAAAUCUGAAUCCUCAUCAUCUGAAUUCCUCUUCUUUCUAGCUCUGGUGGCUGCAGGAGGCAUGCCACUUGGUGUACUCCUCUCACCAUCAUCAGAUGAGCUACUAGGAUCAGGACUAGUGCCUGCCUCUGGAAUGUCUGCAAUGGGUGUCUCUGACCUGUUCUCACUGUCACUGGCAUCUGACAUGGCUGACAACCUGUGAAUAGAUAAGGUGUAGGUAGAGAAGAAGAGUCAUCACAAAAUGCAGAAGUUUUUGCAAAGAAAAUGAGUUCAAAUUCUAGUAUUAAGUUUUCACAGAAGACAUUUCGGUCAGACCGAGUUUAAGCUUCGGUGAAUCCGAAGUGUUGAACAGGAGCUUGGCACACCACUUUCGGUUUGACCGAAGUGGGUUUCGGUCCUGCCGAAAACACUAGGGUUUCACAGAAUCUUCAUUUCGGUCACACCGAUUUUGCACAACUCGGUUGGACCGAAGGGUGUAGUGCAAUGGCCAUAGGCCAAAUCGGUCAUACCUAAAAUAUAAAAUCGGUCUCACCGAGAUGUGUUCCGCGGAAACCUAACCCUAAAACUUUUACUCGAAUCUAGUUCAAACGAACCAAUCUGGUGUACAGGAGGAUCUCAAUCGUGGCAAGAUACUAGGCAAUCCAAACGUGCAUUGAAUCGGAGAUGGGAGCACGAGUGGGAUCAAAACUCACCCUAACUUGGUGGAGUUUUUCUACGGUGGCAACGGCGCGGAGGAGAUGGCCGUUGACGGCGACGGAGACCUGCGGCGAGGGCGCACAGGCGACGACGGCGAUGAUCCGGAGACCAAGGCGACGGCAGCAAGGGGUGUGAGGGCGAAACGUUUGAAGGAGGAAUCAACGCGCGCGGCCCUCGAAAUAUAUACCCCUUCGCUGUCGGUGGGACCGAGUUGUAAAACUCGGUGGCACCGAGAUGGAUAACUGCUAGGCAGUUAUGCACUUCGGUCACGCCGAAAAUCACAACUCGGUUUCACCGAGAUGAAAACCCAGAUCAGUCUAAAUGCUUUCGGUUCGACCGAGUUUGAGUGAGUUCGUCUGACCGAAAUCAAUUAGAAGGUGUUGGAAAUUAGCCCUUGAUGGAUCGGUGGCUCCGAGUGCUCCUCACUCGGAGGGUCCAAAAAUGACUUGUUCAAAAUUUGUGAUGUAAGCAUGAAUAGAAUUUGAGACAAGAAAGCAUAGAUAGCUAGGGGAGGUACUUAGGCAUUCUUGUCCAUCCAUUUGGUCAGAAAAAUCAAAACGACCAAAACAACAAAUGGAUGUCCUCGAAUGGAUAAAAUCAUGCAUCCAACAUGCUCACACAAUAAGAUAGCAAAUGAAAUAUGUGUCAAACAUGCACAACCAAAACUCUAGCAACUAACACACAAUUUGUCGAUGACUAGGUCAUCUUUAUAUGAGUAUAUUGACUUAGGAGCCAAAUGAGAACAUUUGAUCAUAGGUCAUACUCAUCGUUUAAGCACAAGUGGGGUUACCACUUUUACAUAAAGCAUUGAUGUGUUCACAUCAUUUGAAGAUGCUUUAGCUCAAUUUUUUUAGAGUAAAGCUCCCCCUAGAUGUGAGAACCCCUUUUAAAGGGUCAAACUAACCUUGGGUUGUCGUAGAAGACUUCAUGUAGAUGUUGAAGAUGUGGAUGCUCAAUGUUCAUGGAGAUCAUCAAGAGUUGGGAGCUAUCCUUUGGAUUCGGGCACUUUCAAUACCUACAUGGGUUAGUCCCACAAGGAACAAACAAGGAUAUCCAUGGACAUAGGUUGAAGUUCACAAUAGAUGAUGUCCAUGAAAGCAAUGAUUACCUUGUCCCUUGACUUACCAACAAGAGGGUUUGUGACUCCAUGAACUAGUGCACGAUGUGGAAGUUGAUUGCACAAGUUUUUGCCAAAAUGAAUGUGAGUGAAGUAUGUUGGCGGAGUCACCCUCAAGAACUUUCUAGUUCUUCUUCUUCGGGAUCCACAUCAUCUUGAUGGGAAUCCUUGGGGUUGUAGUUGAGAUUGACGAAGUAGAACUUGACGUUUCCUUGGGAACCCACUUGACCAUGGCUUGAGGUGCUUCAACAAAUGCAUCAAUCUCCUCUUGAAGCUUGUCCUUGCCUUUUAGCUUGUGGUCUUGUGGUGGAAGGUUAUCUUGAGCUUGUUCCACAUUGGAAGAAUUAGGAUCAUACUUCUCCUUUUGAGGAACAAACUGUGGAGUAGGAUAUUGACCUUCUUCCCACUCAACGCCUUCGGCGUUGAACUUUCGCUCAAAACCAAUUCCUUGAUUCUUCCGGUGCCUUCCUUGCUUGCGAACAAUUUCCUCAAAGUUCUUGCUUUCGGUAAGGCUCUUGUAGACACCUUUCUCUAUGAUCCCUUUCAAUAAACUAUUCUCUUGCUCAAGUGUAACUUGGCUUGAAACAUUGUUAGUGGAAUCAAGAGAACUACUAGAAGCAACAACAUUGGAUUUAGCAUGGUUAUUGUUACUGCUAGAGGAAGAAUUUUUAUUAUGUUUGUCAUGCUUAGUCUUAAUGGGUGGCAAGAAAUUAGACAAGAGAAGUCGUUUGGCAAGAUAUGAAGAACUCUUCUUUCGAAGAUCGUCAUUGAUUGCUUUUAGAAACUCAUGUUCUUGCUCUAGAGUGAGCUUCUCGAAGCGUAGCUUCUCAUGAGAUCUUAGGAGCUCUCUAUGAUCUUCUUGAGUUGUUUCAUGAGCUAACUUAAGAGUGUUUAGUUCUUUAGUUAGACGCUCAAUCUCCUUCAUAGCAUUGUCAUUCGACUCUUCUCGACUAUAAAGACUACUAGCAUGUUCAUCGUUACUAGGCUCACUGGAUUUAUCAUGCAAGAGCUCAUCUUCACCAAGCAAGUCAUCCUCAUCACUAUCGAAGUCAAUGAAUUCAGGGUGUGAUACCUUGGGGCCUUUAGCCAUGAAGCAUCUUCCAAUUCCCUCAUUUGGUGAAUCAAAUAAGUCGUAGGAGUUGGAGUUGGAGGAUACGAGAGCAAGACCGGCAACACCUUCAUCUUGACUGUAGUCGGAGUCGGAGUGAUAGCUUCCUUCGGAUUGAUUGUCGGAGUCGGAGCCGGAGACCCAUUCACCUACAUGAGCUUGAUGUUUUCUUCUUGUGUAGCUCCUUGAUGACUUGUCUUUCCUCUCUGAAUCCUUGCUUCUCCGAGAGGGUCUUCGUUCAUAACGAUCAUCUCUGCUCCUUCUCUCUUUCCGAGGUGACUCAUCUCUUGAGCUUCUUCUUCUUGGAGAUUCUUCUCUUCUCUUGUGGGGAGUCGUACACUCAUUUGAGUAGUGUCCGGGUCUUCCACAAUUGUAGCAGUUUCGAUCACGACUAGAAGAUCUCUUUUCGUCAUAUGAUCUAGACUUUGAGCUUCUCUCUUUGCCUCUAUUCUUGUAGAAUUUGUUGAAGUUCUUGACCAUUAGGCUUAUCUCUUCAUUGGAAACUAACUUGUCACUUGAGGUUGUGGGAGCAUCACUUGUAGCUUUGUAAGCACCACUUGACUUGUUGUGAAGCUCUUCCUUAUCCUUAAGUGUCAUCUCAUGAGCAACAAUUCUUCCAGUGACUUCGGUUAGCUUGAGAGUCUUGUAGUUUGGCAUCAUUUGGAUCAAAGUGCACACGGGGUCAUACUUUCCAUCCAAAGCUCUGAGAAUCUUCUUGAUGAUGAAUCGGUCGGUCAUUUCUUCGCUUCCUAAGCCGGCAAUCUCAUUUGUGAUGAGAGCAAUCCUAGAGUACAUUUCAGCGACUCCUUCACCAUCCUUCAUCUUGAACUUGCCAAGUUGACCUUGAAGAAUAUCUAGCUUUGAUUCCUUCACGGACUCGGUACCUUCGUGCAUUUCAACUAAAGUAUCCCAAAUCUCUUUUGCAUUCUCAAGACGGCUGAUUUUGUUGAACUCCUCGGGACACAAGGCAUUGAAGAGAAUGUCACAAGCUUGAGCAUUGUUUUGCAACAUCCGCAAUUCUUCCGGUGUAGCUUCGCGAUCCGGAACUUUUCCUUCCUCGAAGAAUUCACCUUGCAUACCAACACAAAUAAUGCCCCAUGCGGCUGGGUUAUGACCAAGAAUAUGCAUUUUCAUUUUAUGCUUCCAACUAGCAAAAUUUGUACCAUCAAAGUAAGGACCUCUACGAAAAUUACCCUCACUAGACGCCAUACUCUCCUAGGUUGUGAAACCAAGCUUAUGGAGUCCAAUGCAAUGGAAACCAAUACAAUGGAGACCAAAGCUCUGAUACCACUUGUAGGAUCGAAAGUAUGUCUAGAGGGGGGUGAUUAAACUACUUGUCAAUAUAAAAAUUCUGCCUUUUGACAAAGAACAGUUUUUGGCAGAUUCACAAUUAUGAUCAAGUCAAGCAUCACCCUACACAUGCAAUUCUAGAGUAUAGGCAGCGGAAAGUAAAUUGCACAUGUAGUAAAGAGAGGUGGAGAAGAGCAAACGCAAUUUUGGAGACGCGGUGAUUUUUCCCGUGGUUCCGAUAGGUGGCGCUAUCAUACAUCCACGUUGAUGGAGACUUCAACCCACGGAGGGUAACGGCUGCGCGAGUCCACGGAGGGCUCCACCCACGAAGGGUCCACGAAGAAGAAACCUUGUCUAUUCCAUCAUGGCCUACGCCCAUGGAGGGCUAGCCUUACUCGGGGUAGAUCUUCACGAAGUAGGCGAUCUCCUUGCCCUUACAAACUUCUUGGUUCAACUCCACAUCUCGACGACGGAGGCUCCCAAGCGACACCUAACCAAUCUAGGAUGCACCACCCUCCAAAAGGUAAUAGAUGUUGUAGAUGAUGAUGAACUCCUUGCUCUUGUGCUUCAAAUGAUAAUCUCCCCAACACUCAACUCUCCUCACUGAUUUGGCUGUGGUGGAAGAAAGGAUUGAGUGGAAAGAAACUUGGUAAGGCUAGAGAUCAAGCUUCAUAUGGUGGGAGUGGAGCAACUUGAUCUCAACACAAGGGUAGGUAGUUCUCUUCUCAGAAAUGUAAGGUAGGAGUGGUAGUUCUUUCUGAUGGCUCUCUACACGAAUGAAGAGGGGGUGGAGGGGUAUAAAUAGCCUCCACACAAAAUCCAACCGUUACACACAUUUGAGCAAUCUCGGUGGUACCGAAGUGGACAACUCGGUGAGACCGAUAGUUCAAAUAAUGUGAACGUUGGGAUUUUCAGUGGGACCGAAUAUACAAUCUCGGUUAGUCCGAUUCGUGCAAUGACACUAGCAUGCCAGUUUCGGUGGGACCGACUUCAUCAUCUCGGUGACACCGAUUUGAUGACAGAAGGUUACAGAACCUUGGCAACUCAUGUUUCGGUGAGACCGAGUUCAUAAUCGGAAAAUCCGAGUUUACUAGGGUUUGGCUUAUGGCUAAGGUGGUUCAUCUUGGUGUGACUGAGUUUGGAAUAUCGAUGGGACCGAGACUACUUAUGAGUGUCUAUGGCAGUGAAAGUUGCUGAUAGUUUAGGAGAUGUAUCACUAAGCACUUGAGCAACCAGAUCAUCAUCAUAACCUCAUCCCCUUUUAAUAGUAUUGGCUUUUCCUAUGGACUCAAUGUGAUCUUGGAUCACUAAACCAAAAAUGGAGUCUUGAGCUUUUGCCAAUGCUUGCCUUAGCAUUUUGGGGGGUCCACUUCUUCAGUCCUUGCCAUACCCAUAUCACUGAACUCUCUGAAAUGAUUCUCAAGUAACUAUUAGUUCAAUGAUAUAUAUGUUGUUAUUAAUUACCAAAACCACCCGGGGAUUAGUUGCACUUUCACACA
rnacentral:lncRNA from 1 species